GUGUGUGUGUGUGUUUUAAUUUAACAAUUCGAGUGCAUUGCAUUGAACUUACAAAUUGAGGUUUGUGUGGAUCCUAAUAGAGGUUAAUGAAAGAUCCUCUAGUUCUCGAGCUAACAACAAAGCCUAUUCAAUAUAAAGAUUAAUCUUUAUGCCCUAUUUCAUAUAAAGAUCGAAUCUUUCAACAAGUAGAAGUGAGAUUGGUGUUUUGAGACUUGUUAUUGAUUUUACUAUCCACAAACACAUCAUUUGCUUUAUAAUUCUUUUUUUAGUUUUGAAUGAUAUAGGGGUCCUAUUAUGUUUGUGAGUCUAAUUCCCUCAAAUCAGUUGUGUGUGUAUUUUAAUUUAACAAUUCGAGUGCAUUGCAUUGAAUUUACAAAUUGAGGGUUGUGUGGAUCCUAAUAGAGGUUAAUAAAAGAUCCUAUAGUUCUCGAGCUA